rnacentral:rRNA from 1 species
GGAAGUGUGUGAGCCAUGAAUCAAGAAAAGCCGCUAUUGUUUUUAAGAUACCCGUACCGUAAACCGACACAGGUGGAUGAGGAGAGAAUCCUAAGGCCGGCGGAAGAAGCAUUGUUAAGGAACUCGGCAAAAUGACCCCGUAACUUCGGGAGAAGGGGUGCCAACGAGAGUUGGCCGCAGAGAAUAGGCUCAAGCAACUGUUUAGCAAAAACACAGGUCUAUGCAAAACCGUAAGGUGAGGUAUAUGGGCUGACGCCUGCCCGGUGCUGGAAGGUUAAGAGGAGAGGUUAGCGCAAGCGAAGCUUUGAAUUUAAGCCCCAGUAAACGGCGGCCGUAACAAUAACGGUCCUAAGGUAGCGAAAUUCCUUGUCGGGUAAGUUCCGACCCGCACGAAAGGCGUAAUGAUUUGAGCGCUGUCUCGACAAUGCAUCCGGUGAAAUUGAAGUACCAGUGAAGAUGCUGGUUACCCGCGCCAGGACGGAAAGACCCCAUGGAGCUUUACUCCAGUUUGGUACUGGGGUCCGGCAGUGCAUGUACAGGAUAGGUGGGAGGCUGAGAACCUGGAACGCCAGUUUCAGGGGAGCCAUUGUUGGGAUACCACCCUUGUGCUGCUGGGCUUCUAACCAGCGGCCUUUAUCAGGCCGGGGGACAAUGCCAGACGGGGAGUUUGACUGGGGCGGUCGCCUCCGAAAGGGUAUCGGAGGCGCUCAAAGGUUCCCUCAGAAUGGUCGGAAACCAUUCGAAGAGUGCAAAGGCAGAAGGGAGCUUGACUGCGACACCGACGGGUGGAGCAGGUACGAAAGUAGGACUUAGUGAUCCGGUGGUAUUAAGUGGGAAUGCCAUCGCUCAACGGAUAAAGGCUACCCUGGGAUAACAGGCUUAUCACUCCCAAGAGUUCACAUCGACGGAGUGGUUUGGCACCUCGAUGUCGGCUCAUCGCAUCCUGGGGCUGUAGUAGGUCCCAAGGGUUGGGCUGUUCGCCCAUUAAAGCGGUACGCGAGCUGGGUUCAGAACGUCGUGAGACAGUUCGGUCCCUAUCCGGCGUGGGCGUAGGAUAUUUGAGAGGAGCUGUCCUUAGUACGAGAGGACCGGGAUGGUCUGACCUCUGGUGUACCGGUUGAACCGCCAGGUUCACGGCCGGGUAGCCAAGUCGGGAAGGGAUAAACGCUGAAGGCAUCUAAGCGUGAAGCCCCCCUCAAGAUGAGAUAUCCCAUUCGAAAGAAGUAAGGCCCCUUGAAGACGACGAGGUAGAUAGGGCAGAGGUGGAAGUGCCGUAAGGCAUGGAGCUGACUGUUACUAAUCGGUCGAGGGCUUGAC